UUACUUUCCUGUAAAGGACCUGUGCUCCCUUGUGGUUAAAGGUGCGACUGGCCCCCGAGGGACCCUCACACAGCUGUGAUGGGGAACUUGCAUUCCUGGCUCCUCUGAGUGUGACCGGCACGCCCACCGCCUUCCUGAAGACCCCGUCUUGCUGCGAGGGGGGCUUGCCCUCCAGGCGGUGGUUUGUGCAUGAGUGGCCAUGUCCUCGCAGCCCACGGGGACAGCCUCAGCGGUGGGCACUGCCCCAGACACGCGAUCACCACUGUCCCCCGGGCUGUGAACGGGGGUCCUUGUGUUUCUGGGGGUGAAGCAGCUGACGCGACCCUGGAUGCCACCAAUAUCCACGUCUUCCGCUGAAAGUUUACAGCAGCCUCGAGAGGGACGUGGAGAUAGGAGCUCACACGGGGGGCCUGCUUCCUUGGGGCUCAGGUGCACCCACGUUACCACGGGCCUGGCCAGCAAAGUUCACGUUCUCUCUGGGGGUUGAGCUACGUUUUUGUCAUUGGCAACAAGAGUUCUGACGGAUCUAAGUUGUAAUUCUGGGACUCGGCAAUUCGUCUUUUGAAUUUCAGCCAGAGGGUGUCAGCUCAGGCUUUGAAAACGUCCCCUCGGCGUCAGCAGAACUCAGUGUCUGUCUCCAGGGAUGGAAGGAGAGAAGAAAUCCACACCUAAUGCUGUCCCGCUUUAUGAGGAAGGUGCGCUUUUUCCUGUCUUACGUGAGGAGAAAGGGGACCCAGCACGCCGACCCGUACAGUGACCAAGAAGGAAAUCAAAGAGAUCUCUUCGAGCCCAGAGAUGAAAGGGUGGCCCUUACAUCACCCUAACUGCAGCUACAGCAGGAAGACGUCCCCAAGAGCCGUUCUACGACCCCACGAGGCUGUGGCCACGCCAGCACGCGGGGUUAUGUCUCCACCGCCGAGAGAAAGCAGGGGAGGAAGCCCAUUCCCGUCGGUUCAAUAAAGGGCAGCAAGCCCCACCCAUUUUGAGGAGGCCGGUGGCACAACGGGGACAGAGGCGAAAGGUCACCAUCACGCCCUCAGGACGGCGGCUGGUGGCCAGCAGCGAGGCUGCCGUGACCGUGCUGUGGUCACGCAGCAGCCGGCAGCCCUGUACCUGCUCCCCGCGCCCCCAGACCCACGCCUCAAACACUGUUCCCGCGACUUCGCUGUCUCGCCUGUCUCUUCAGAUACGCUAUCUGCAAAAAUAAGGUUAUUACAAUCAGCCUCCAAGUAAAGAUCUUCACCUUGAAGAGCAAUGGGGCCGUUGCCAGUGAGACAUGAGGGCUAGAAUCAGCAAUGACUUUUUAAAAUUUAAUUUUUAUUUUAUAUAGGGGUGUAGUUGAUUUACAACGUUGUAAUUGUUUCGGGUAUACAGCAAAG